rnacentral:rRNA from 1 species
UACGUAGGGUGCAAGCGUUAAUCGGAAUUACUGGGCGUAAAGCGUGCGCAGGCGGUUCUAUAAGACAGAUGUGAAAUCCCCGGGCUCAACCUGGGAACUGCAUUUGUGACUGUAGAGCUGGAGUACGGCAGAGGGGGGUAGAAUUCCACGUGUAGCAGUGAAAUGCGUAGAGAUGUGGAGGAAUACCGAUGGCGAAGGCAGCCCCCUGGGCCAAUACUGACGCUCAUGCACGAAAGCGUGGGGAGCAAACAGG